UACGUAGGGAGCAAGCGUUGUCCGGAAUCAUUGGGCGUAAAGCGCGUGUAGGCGGCCCGGUAAGUCCGCUGUGAAAGUCGGGGGCUCAACCCUCGAAUGCCGGUGGAUACUGUCGGGCUAGAGUACGGAAGAGGCGAGUGGAAUUCCUGGUGUAGCGGUGAAAUGCGCAGAUAUCAGGAGGAACACCAAUUGCGAAGGCAGCUCGCUGGGACGUCACUGACGCUGAGACGCGAAAGCGUGGGGAGCAAACAGG
rnacentral:rRNA from 1 species